rnacentral:rRNA from 1 species
AUGCUUUACACAUGCAAGUCGAACGGUAACAGGCCUUCGGGUGCUGACGAGUGGCGAACGGGUGAGUAAUACAUCGGAACGUGCCCAGUCGUGGGGGAUAGCUCGGCGAAAGCCGGAUUAAUACCGCAUACGAUCCACGGAUGAAAGCGGGGGACCUUCGGGCCUCUCGCGAUUGGAGCGGCCGAUGGCAGAUUAGGUAGUUGGUGGGGUAAAGGCUCACCAAGCCGACGAUCUGUAGCUGGUCUGAGAGGACGACCAGCCACACUGGGACUGAUACACGGCCCAGACUCCUACGGGAGGCAGCAGUGGGGAUUUUGGACAAUGGGCGCAAGCCUGAUCCAGCCAUGUCGCGUGCAGGAUGAAAGCCUUCGGGUUGUAAACUGCUUUUGUACGGAACAAAAAGCUCCUUUUAAUACCUGGGGCUCAUGACGGUACCGUAAGAAUAAGCCCCGGCUAACUACGUGCCAGCAGCCGCGGUAAUACGUAGGGUACGAGCGUUAAUCGGAAUUACUGGGCGUAAAGCGUGCGCAGGCGGUGAUGUAAGACAGAUGUGAAAUCCCCGGGCUCAACCUGGGAACUGCAUUUGUGACUGCAUUGCUGGAGUGCGGCAGAGGGGGAUGGAAUUCCGCGUGUAGCAGUGAAAUGCGUAGAUAUGCGGAGGAACACCGAUGGCGAAGGCAAUCCCCUGGGCCUGCACUGACGCUCAUGCACGAAAGCGAGGGGAGCAAACAGGAUAAGAUACCCUGGUAGUCCACGCCCUAAACGAUGUCAACUGGUUGUUGGGAAUUUGCUUUCUCAGUAACGAAGCUAACGCGUGAAGUUGACCGCCUGGGGAGUACGGCCGCAAGGUUGAAACUCAAAGGAAUUGACGGGGACCCGCACAAGCGGUGGAUGAUGUGGUUUAAUUCGAUGCAACGCGAAAAACCUUACCCACCUUUGACAUGUACGGAACUUGCCAGAGAUGGCUUGGUGCUCGAAAGAGAACCGUAACACAGGUGCUGCAUGGCUGUCGUCAGCUCGUGUCGUGAGAUGUUGGGUUAAGUCCCGCAACGAGCGCAACCCUUGUCAUUAGUUGCUACAUUCAGUUGGGCACUCUAAUGAGACUGCCGGUGACAAACCGGAGGAAGGUGGGGAUGACGUCAAGUCCUCAUGGCCUUUAUAGGUGGGGCUACACACGUCAUACAAUGGCCGGUACAAAGGGUUGCCAACCCGCGAGGGGGAGCUAAUCCCAUAAAGCCGGUCGUAGUCCGGAUCGCAGUCUGCAACUCGACUGCGUGAAGUCGGAAUCGCUAGUAAUCGUGGAUCAGAAUGUCACGGUGAAUACGUUCCCGGGUCUUGUACACACCGCCCGUCACACCAUGGGAGCGGGUUCUGCCAGAAGUAGUUAGCCUAACCGCAAGGAGGGCGAUUACCACGGCAGGGUUCGUGACUGGGGUG